UACGGAGGGUGCGAGCGUUGUCCGGAAUCACUGGGCGUAAAGGGCGCGUAGGUGGCGCGAGAAGUCAACGGUGAAAGCCCGGGGCUCAACUCCGGGUCGGCCGUGCGAACUGGGGGACUGGAGCUUGUCAGAGGCAGGCGGAAUUCCGGGUGUAGCGGUGGAAUGCGUAGAGAUCCGGAAGAACACCGGUGGCGAAGGCGGCCUGCUGGGACAGUGCUGACGCUGAGGCGCGACAGCGUGGGGAGCAAACAGG
rnacentral:rRNA from 1 species